rnacentral:tRNA from 2 species
GCCCGAGUGGCGGAAUGGUAGACGCAGGGGAUUCAAAAUCCCCCGAUAGCAAUAUCGUGCGAGUUCAAGUCUCGCCUCGGGCACCA